CCUACGGGUGGCUGCAGUGGGGAAUAUUGCACAAUGGGGGAAACCCUGAUGCGGCGACGCCGCGUGAGUGAAGAAGUAAUUCGUUAUGUAAAGCUCUAUCAGCAGGGAAGAAAAUGACGGUACCUGAGUAAGAAGCCCCGGCUAACUACGUGCCAGCAGCCGCGGUAAUACGUAGGGGGCAAGCGUUAUCCGGAUUUACUGGGUGUAAAGGGAGCGUAGACGGCAGUGCAAGUCUGGAGUGAAAGGCGGGGGCUCAACCCCCGGACGGCUCUGGAAACUGUACGGCUGGAGUGCAGGAGAGGUAAGUGGAAUUCCUGGGGUAGCGGGGAAAGGCGUAGAUAAUAGGAGGAAAACCAGGGGCGAAGGCGGCUUACGGGACUGUAACUGACGUGGGGGCUCGAAAGGAGGGGGAGCAAACAGGAUUAGAUACCCCUGUAGU
rnacentral:rRNA from 1 species